UACGUAGGAGGCGAGCGUUGUCCGGAAUUACUGGGCGUAAAGAGCGCGUAGGCGGCGCUGUACGAUCGGUGUGAAAGCCCCCGGCUCAACUGGGGAGGGUCACGGAUAACGGCAGUGCUUAUGAGUGCAGGAGAGGGACGUGGAACUCCGGGAGUAGCGGUGAAAUGCGUAGAGACCCGGAGGAACACCAGUGGCGAAGGCGGCGUCCUGGCCUGCGACUGACGCUGUGGCGCGAAAGCUAGGGGAGCGAACGGG
rnacentral:rRNA from 1 species